rnacentral:rRNA from 1 species
AUUGAACGCUGGCGGCAGGCUUAACACAUGCAAGUCGAGCGGUAACAGAGAGAAGCUUGCUUCUCUGCUGACGAGCGGCGGACGGGUGAGUAAUGCCUAGGAAUCUGCCUAGUAGUGGGGGAUAACUUGCCGAAAGGUAAGCUAAUACCGCAUACGUCCUACGGGAGAAAGGAGGGGACCUUCGGGCCUUUCGCUAUUAGAUGAGCCUAGGUCGGAUUAGUUAGUUGGUGAGGUAAUGGCUCACCUAGACCGCGAUCCGUAACUGGUCUGAGAGGAUGAUCAGUCACACUGGAACUGAGACACUGUCCAGACUCCUACGGAGGCAGCAGUGGGGAAUAUUGGACAAUGGGGGGAACCCUGAUCCAGCCAUGCCGCGUGUGUGAAGAAGGUCUUAGGAUUGUAAAGCACUUUAAGUUGGGAGGAAGAGCAGUUAACUAAUAUUUGACUGUUUUGACGUUACCGACAGAAUAAGCACCGGCUAACUUCGUGCCAGCCGCCGCGGUAA